GGUAGGGAUCUCUAGCCCUUUUUGCCAUGUGAGGAUACCAUAAGAGGUCUACGACCUGGAAGAAGGUCUUCACCUGACCAUGCUGGCAUCCUGAUCUUGGACUUCCAGUCCCCAGAAAUGGCUUCCUCUGUUUGUGUGAUACAGCACUGGUCUCCAGUCACCCAGUCCUAUGAAGGCUUGGUGUAACCCUGGAGGAUUGAUGCCUGUUUAGAUCAAGCCUGGGAGCUACCUUCUGCAGACCUAAUCCUUUUAUCUGUGAGUUGUCAUAGGAAAAGGAACUGUUUAAACUUGAGAUCUAGUCACUGGUUUGCUCUGUUGUUUUGAAGACGACUAAGGGGACACGGGUUCGAGCCCUGGUCAGGGAAGAUCCCACAUGCCGCGGAGCAACUAAGCCUGUGCGCCACAACUGCUGAGCCCACGAGCCACGACUGCUGAAGCCCACGCGCCUAGAGCCCGUGCUCUGCGACAAGAGAAGCCACCGCAAUGAGAAGCAUGUGCACCACAACGAAGAGUAGCCCCCGCUCACCAAAACUAGUGAAAGCCCGCAUGCAGCAAUGAAGACCCAACGCAGCCAAAAAAGUAAAUGAGUAAGCAAGACUGAGGACUUAAGCCCAGAAGACAGCCUGUCAGACAGCUCUGAGGGACUGCCCUGAAGAGGAGAAAGGAUCUCCAACUCACUGAGAAGGACACCUUGUCCUGACCCUGGGGAAGAAAACACAACUCUGACUUUUAAAGGGACAACCAGGAUGGAAGGAAGGGCCAGCAGGCAUUGUCAAUAGAAGAGCAACCAGUCUUCCUGCUGCAGGAUCAGAGCUGCCAUUGCUGGGGCAUCCCAGCAGAAAACACCUGUGAAAAAUGAUAGCUUUUCUUUGGAACUUGUAGGUAAGGAAAAAAAAA